GUUCAAUAUCAAAGCUUUGGGUGAACUAUUCUUAUGAGUUUGUUUUUUGAUGGCAGCAGUCUCCAUGUCUUUGCUCUAAUGUACAGUGCCCUCUGCAGGCAAUUUGUAAGCCUCAAAUUUGACAGAACUGGCAACAUUUUCACUUCCUCUGAACACAGUAUGCACAUAAUAACUCAUAGACACACACACUCGCACACACUGAAAUACAUGUAUAAACAAAAUGAACAUGGUUUAAUACUUUUUGUAUUGGACAUUUGACAUGACAGACACUAACACAAACACACAGACUCACACAUCCACUCCAAUUCUAAAAAUGUAAACAGCACUCAGAACGCACAGAGCCUAUAUGAAUUUUAAGCAGACAGAUGCAUGCUAAUUAAUCACACAAACCAAUGCCUCGUACCCCAACAGACUGUUUUCCCUGUGCUCUUCCUCUUGAUAUGGCAAAUAACAGGCCUGCCUGCCACGCAGCUAGACACUUUGUCAAACAAAUAUGAUCAAAACAAAGCUAAUGACGUGUAAAUUGUUUAUGAUGUUCUGUGCAAUGAGCAGCACUAGCAUGUGUGUGUGUGUAAGGGAGGGUAAUCACUGCCAUCAGCUUGACAUAAUCAGGAGGAAAUGAAUAUGAGUAUUUCACAGCACACUUUGAGCCAAACAGCGAUCUGGGGGACUGUGAUGGAUGCAGGGCAAUUCGAAUGAUGCAACAGAGGUGGCUGGAAUGUGGGAGACUCUGGUCGAUGCUGAUAAGGCCACAUACAGGCCUGCAGGAGGGACCAGAUUUACCAGGAAGACAAUGUCCACUAGGUCACAUAUGUGUGCUUACACAUGGACACAAGAGCUGAGCAAAGCAGCAGGACGAUAAGGGAGAAAAACGACAGCGUGCACUGUGGCGUCAGGAGCACAGAGACGUCUAUAAACUGAAAGAAGCACUGCACUGUCGGAAUAUGACAGCCAAUCCAUCAGGGAAAUGGAAGCUCUGUCUACUGCACCAAGGAGAGAGUGGCCAGAACUUUUAUAAAUAGUCACGCAUUUUUAAGGGAAAUUGAAAGUUGUCAGACAUAUGCUUUGCAGUCUUUCUGUUGAUCAUCCAAGUGGCCGCAUUGGCUGAAUAUGAUUGAAACAUCAAAGAAUACAAAGUAGGAAGGUUGAAGGAUAAUGUACGGAAGGGC
ensembl:lncRNA